rnacentral:misc_RNA from 1 species
AUUUUCCAAAGUAUUAUAUUUUUAAAAAUAAAGGGACUAACUAAUUAGCAUUACUAGACUAAAUAGUGGUGUUUUUCAAAAUAUAAAGAUUAAUUAAUUAAUUUUUUGAAAAUAAAGGAUUAUAUUUGAUUGGUAUCAUAUUUGUAACGGGGUAUUUAAUGCUCUAAGUUGGAUAUGACUAAAGCAUCUUAAUCAAUUUAAAAAUAUGUUUUUCAAAGUAUUAUAUUUUUAAAAAUAAAGGGACUAACUAAUUAGCAUUACUAGACUAAAUAGUGGUGUUUUUCAAAAUAUAAAGAUUAAUUAAUUAAUUUUUUGAAAAUAAAGGAUUAUAUUUGAUUGGUAUCAUAUUUGUAACGGGGUAUUUAAUGCUCUAAGUUGGAUAUGACUAAAGCAUCUUAAUCAAUUUAAAAAUAU